rnacentral:lncRNA from 1 species
GCCCGCGGCGGGCGGGAGCCGAGGCGCUGCGGCGGCGGCGGGCGGGGGGGCUCCACGCGCCGCUUCGUGCCCCCCCCCCCAAUCCUCCUCCUCCUCUUCCUGCUCCCCUUUCUCCGCCGCCACCGGCCCGCGGCCCUGCACCAUCGGCAGGCCGGGCCGAGCCGUGCCGGGGCUCCGGGCACAGCCCCGAGCAGAGCCCGCAGCCCUGCCGCCGCGCCCCCGCCCGCCUGUCUGUUUUCCCUUUGUACUUUCCAUCCCGCUGUACCCCCCAUCUCCUCAUCCCAUAACGUUUUUUUUUUUUUUUUUUCCACAGGAAUAAUGUGUUAAUCAAUCUUUUACUUUUGUUUCCGGAUCUGACAUGGUGGCCCACACAAUCUACAACAUUAACAAAAAGGUCACUUAGAGAUAAAACACGUUUGACAAGUGAAGAACAAGGCAAGUGCUUUAGGGGUCGCGUCCAAUUCCUGACCUGGACUCCGACCAGAACAGGCGCUGAUCCUGGAAGGGGUGGGCGAGAGGAAGGACUUCCACUUUCUCGCCUUUAUAUCUGCUGAACCAAGUCCCUUUUCUUCCCUCGAAACACCGAUCUCCCCCAGCCCCUUAGCAGAUGGAUCAGAUAGCCUUUAAUGAUCUUCUCUCCUUACGAGGUAGACAUAAGGCACGUUUUCCUAGAUAUCCUCCCCACCCCCCCGUAAAGCGGUACCCUUUAAAUCCUGCAGCCAAAAAGUUCAUAUGCUCAAUGGAUGACAAAGUAAGGCUGCAGUAUGAGAGUGCGAAGAGUUUUUUUCCAGACCAGCUUCAUUCAGAAGGCCAAGGUAUGCUUUUCCUGUGGAAUAUUAUGAGGUGUCUCAGGAAAACAAAAACAAACAAACAAAAAAAAACCCUGCAGCCUCCACAGAUUCAUCCACUUACCAGUCCUCGUCGUGGGCACUAG